UUUGACAAUCUCUGAAAUGGUAUUGAAGCUUUUGCAAAUCUGGUGGCUUCCACACCUUGACAUGAUCAAGAAGCAAGGCAUUUUGAUCAGCUUCCAACUCUUUAUUACCCCAACUGGUUCUACCACGAGCAGAGCACUCUCCAAGGAUGAUAAGUAUGCUGGCAUAUGCUCCAGGUUUCCACAAGUAGAACUGUAAACUUCCACCCCAAUCUGAUAUAAGCAGCUCACAGAAUUUGGCUAAACCGAUAUGUUUUGCGGAAUUGACAAUAUCUUGAUGAUCAGGAGACCAUUUGCUGCGUUUUCUGGUUUGUUGGAUCCAGGAAAGAG
rnacentral:lncRNA from 1 species